UUAGGUGACGAUAGCGUAGGAAAUAAACCUGUACCCAUGCCGAACACAGAAGUUAGGCCGUAGAACGCCGGAAGUAGUUGGGGGUUGCCCCCUGUGAGAUAGGGAAGUCGUUUAGC
rnacentral:rRNA from 1 species